GAUGAAGAACGUAGCGAAAUGCGAUAAGUAAUGUGAAUUGCAGAGUUCAGUGAAUCAUCGAAUCUUUGAACGCACAUUGCGCCCGUCAGUAUUCUGACGGGCAUGCCUGUCCGAGCGUCAUUUCACCACUCAAGCCUCGCUUGGUAUUGGGCAACGCGGUCCGCCGCGUGCCUCAAAUCGACCGGCUGGGUCUUCUGUCCCCUAAGCGUUGUGGAAACUAUUCGCUAAAGGGUGUUCGGGAGGCUACGCCGUAAAACAACCCCAUUUCUAAGGUUGACCUCGGAUCAGGUAGGGAUACCCGCUGAACUUAAGCAUAUCAAUAAGCGGAGGA
rnacentral:misc_RNA from 1 species